rnacentral:rRNA from 1 species
GAUCAUGGCUCAGGACGAACGCUGGCGGCGUGCUUAACACAUGCAAGUCGAACGGGAAGAAAAGAAAGAGCUUGCUCUUUCUUGGAUUCUAGUGGCAAACGGGUGAGUAACACGUAAACAACCUGCCUUCAGGAUGGGGACAACAGACGGAAACGACUGCUAAUACCGAAUACCUUCCAAUUUCCGCAUGGAGAUAGGAAGAAAGGGUGGCCUCUACUUGUAAGCUAUCGCCUGAAGAGGGUUGUCGU